UUAAACUUACUUAGGUUUUAUGGGUUAAAAACUGUAUCAUGCAAAUUAAAAUUAAAUUUUAAAUUAAAAUUUGGGAGGACUUUUUCCUUUGCUAUUAUCAGCAUUUCUACACCCAAAUUCUCCAAGGGUGCCUCUGAACUUGCAUUCACCAUGAGUAUGGCUUUGCAUUUGUGGUGUUACAGCUUAGACAUAACACAGAUGGUUUUAUCACAACAUCCUAUAUCUCUUUCCCAGCUGAUUACCUGACUACCAGAUCCAUUGCAGUCUGAGCUCUGUUUUCCCACUAAUCUCUCCCUUUUUCUGUGCUUUCCUUGCAGUAGUGACCUCCAGAAGCAUUUGGUUCUGCCACAGCAAUGACAGCACCUCUGCCAUGACACUGCCAGCAGGAGAGCUGGAUGCAACCAGGAGCUGUUUGGUUUCCUGAGGAAAAGAGAACACUUCCAGAAACAAUAAAGCUGAAGGCAAAACCAGGUGGAGGAGGACAUGUAAGCCCUAGCAACCAUCACAGUAGGCAUGCUCUGUCCCUAGAAGGGCAGGUGAGAAAAGCAAAUGGGUCUUGCUGUCUGGAUGAUGCCACACAAAACCAUGGAGGAUAUACCCUUCAAAAUUGACAAAAAUAGCAGCCAGAGGCAGAGCAAUGGAACCAGGACACACUGUGGCAGUGCAAACUCCUGCUGCCACCAGUAGCCCUUGCUGCCACUGGAGAUGUACUGGCAUUAGUAAUGACAGAAAAAUUCAAGAGCCAUCUCUGGAGGGCAUUGUCCCAAGAUACUUUCUACUGAUACUUCCCAGAAUGAGUUCAGAGGAGCUGUAAGCAGCCACUGUUGGCACACCUGGGCAAUGUCACAUGCUGUAGGGAGAUGCAAGGGAAUGGAAAUACAUGAAAACAUGAUGCUAUCAGAAAGAACUAUAGCUGUAAAAUUUAAUAGUGUGAUUUGUGAAGCUGACAACACCCACCAUAAGUCACAAAAUAAAACAGAAAUGCACGGAAACUGUAAAUCUUUCUGAGAACAAUUGGUGUAAACCUUUGUUAAGUUUUAUCACAAAGAAAUACAAACAUCAUAUAAA